rnacentral:rRNA from 1 species
AUAUAUGACGUACUUGUACUGAUUGAGAUUUUAACACGAAGUGAGUGGCGAACGGGUGAGUAACACGUGGGUAACCUGCCCAGAAGUAGGGGAUAACACCUGGAAACAGAUGCUAAUACCGUAUAACAGAGAAAACCGCAUGGUUUUCUUUUAAAAGAUGGCUCUGCUAUCACUUCUGGAUGGACCCGCGGCGUAUUAGCUAGUUGGUGAGGUAAAGGCUCACCAAGGCAGUGAUACGUAGCCGACCUGAGAGGGUAAUCGGCCACAUUGGGACUGAGACACGGCCCAGACUCCUACGGGAGGCAGCAGUAGGGAAUCUUCCACAAUGGACGCAAGUCUGAUGGAGCAACGCCGCGUGAGUGAAGAAGGGUUUCGGCUCGUAAAGCUCUGUUGUUAAAGAAGAACGUGGGUAAGAGUAACUGUUUACCCAGUGACGGUAUUUAACCAGAAAGCCACGGCUAACUACGUGCCAGCAGCCGCGGUAAUACGUAGGUGGCAAGCGUUAUCCGGAUUUAUUGGGCGUAAAGCGAGCGCAGGCGGUCUUUUAAGUCUAAUGUGAAAGCCUUCGGCUCAACCGAAGAAGUGCAUUGGAAACUGGGAGACUUGAGUGCAGAAGAGGACAGUGGAACUCCAUGUGUAGCGGUGAAAUGCGUAGAUAUAUGGAAGAACACCAGUGGCGAAGGCGGCUGUCUGGUCUGCAACUGACGCUGAGGCUCGAAAGCAUGGGUAGCGAACAGGAUUAGAUACCCUGGUAGUCCAUGCCGUAAACGAUGAUUACUAAGUGUUGGAGGGUUUCCGCCCUUCAGUGCUGCAGCUAACGCAUUAAGUAAUCCGCCUGGGGAGUACGACCGCAAGGUUGAAACUCAAAAGAAUUGACGGGGGCCCGCACAAGCGGUGGAGCAUGUGGUUUAAUUCGAAGCUACGCGAAGAACCUUACCAGGUCUUGACAUCUUCUGACAGUCUAAGAGAUUAGAGGUUCCCUUCGGGGACAGAAUGACAGGUGGUGCAUGGUUGUCGUCAGCUCGUGUCGUGAGAUGUUGGGUUAAGUCCCGCAACGAGCGCAACCCUUAUUACUAGUUGCCAGCAUUAAGUUGGGCACUCUAGUGAGACUGCCGGUGACAAACCGGAGGAAGGUGGGGACGACGUCAAAUCAUCAUGCCCCUUAUGACCUGGGCUACACACGUGCUACAAUGGAUGGUACAACGAGUCGCGAAACCGCGAGGUUAAGCUAAUCUCUUAAAACCAUUCUCAGUUCGGACUGUAGGCUGCAACUCGCCUACACGAAGUCGGAAUCGCUAGUAAUCGCGGAUCAGCAUGCCGCGGUGAAUACGUUCCCGGGCCUUGUACACACCGCCCGUCACACCAUGAGAGUUUGUAACACCCAAA